CACGGAAACCUGACCCUAAUGAAAAGGACCACAGCCUGGAUGCUGUGGAAGUUGCCUUGACCCUAGAGAAGGGCCUGAACUAGGCCCUACUAGAGCUAUGUGCCCUGGGAUCCAGCCAAGGGGAUUCACAACUCUCUUACUUCGAGGAGAUCCACUUCAUCAAGAAAGAGGGGUAGAAGAGCUGUAUUGAGUGCUUACAGCUUCAUGGCAGCUCCAGGUGAGAGAGGGGCCUCCCCUACCUACAGGCUCAGAGCAGUUUGUCUUCCACACUCAAAUGGAGCCAGUUCUAGGUGCAGGGAGUGGAGUCCCAGACAUGGUAACUCCAGCCAUGAGGACCUAGAAACCCAGGAUUCCAAGGCAGAUAUUGCAACCAGCCCAGCAGUGAAGUCCUAUGAGGCCAGGGUCCCAGAAAAAGGGAAGGAGUUGCCUUGGCACUUCGUGGGACUAUGGAGCAUGAGCUGCUGGAGAACUGAGACUGUCACCACUCCGCAUCCCCAGCACUUAGCACAGUGCUGUGCACCUAGUAGGGAACAAAUAUUGUCUGAGUAAUCCUCC